GACGUAGGGCGCGAGCGUUGUCCGGAUUUAUUGGGCGUAAAGAGCUCGUAGGCGGCUUGUCGCGUCGUCCGUGAAAACUUGGGGCUCAACCCCAAGCUUGCGGUCGAUACGGGCAGGCUCGAGUUCGGUAGGGGAGACUGGAAUUCCUGGUGUAGCGGUGAAAUGCGCAGAUAUCAGGAGGAACACCGGUGGCGAAGGCGGGUCUCUGGGCCGGUAUUGACGCUGAGGCGCGAAAGCCAGGGGAGCAAACGGG
rnacentral:rRNA from 1 species